GACGAACGCUGGCGGCGUGCUUAACACAUGCAAGUCGAACGGAAAGGCCCUGCUUGCAGGGUACUCGAGUGGCGAACGGGUGAGUAACACGUGGGUGAUCUGCCCUGCACUUCGGGAUAAGCCUGGGAAACUGGGUCUAAUACCGGAUAGGAGCCAUUUUUAGUGUGAUGGUUGGAAAGUUUUUUCGGUGUAGGAUGAGCUCGCGGCCUAUCAGCUUGUUGGUGGGGUAAUGGCCUACCAAGGCGGCGACGGGUAGCCGGCCUGAGAGGGUGGACGGCCACAUUGGGACUGAGAUACGGCCCAGACUCCUACGGGAGGCAGAAGUGGGGAAUAUUGCACAAUGGGCGCAAGCCUGAUGCAGCGACGCCGCGUGGGGGAUGACGGCCUUCGGGUUGGAAACUCCUAUCGCUAGGGACGAAGCUUUUUGUGACGGUACCUAGAUAAGAAGCACCGGCUAACUACGUG
rnacentral:rRNA from 1 species